AAACAAAAAAAAAAAACUAUACUCCUGUUACUACCACUGUUACUGCUGCUGCUACCAUUACUGGACUAAAGGUAAUAACAGUUACUUGUAAUAUUCAUUCCUAACUGCAGAUUGAUGAGAAUAUGUAGACAUAAGAGUUCAUAUAUCACACUCCUAUGUAGGGAACACAUCGUGGGAAAGUAUAAAUUAACCAAACACGAACCACAACUAGACUUAUAAAUGAUCAAACCCAAAGGCGUGAAUUCACCCUCCGUUCUGCCCAGGUCCUGCCUCGCCGCCCAGCCUACAAUCCGGCCAGACAUAAGCACACUUGGCAGGAGUUACAUAGAUGGAAGGGUCCGGCGAGGUAUUCUUGUCGGGGCCUGCGACGUGAUGUGGAGACAGCUAUACAAAAAGGUGGAGUCGAGACGGACGUGUUCCCUGUAUCUUCCACGCGCGAGGCCUUGCUUUAGUUCACCUUCUCACGCAAGGGAAUAACAGUGGUAGGAGUUUAGUUCAGGGAGAUCAACGGAGGCGACGCCUCUGUGUGAUCGCCUGCCAGGAUGCUGCUUCGUGCCCUGCUCCUGGUUCCGCGCACAGCCGCGUAACUACGAGAGACCAUGGGCAUUUUUUUUACAUCAAAGGAUGCGGCUCAAAGGGCAACAAAAAGAGUACAAAAAAAGCCCGCUUCUCGCCGCCCCCACAAAAGUAGCAAUACAGUUAAUUCCCAUUACUAUAUCUAAACAAUUACUAUGCCUACAAUGAUUAAUAAUACUUCACACUAAUUCAAAAUUAAACUGGAAUAACACACACAGAAACAUCUUAGUAAAUCAACAGCUGAAUCAUCUUUGCUUGUAACACGACCCGACUUCGGCGCCACUGUUGGGGCCAGGGACAACAGCCGUGCACCGCCGCCUCCACGGGACACGGCAGCGGCUGGCAGGACCUGGCCCCACCGAGAGACGCGAGCCACACGUUUCCUGCCCCGUCGAGGAGAAACAGGCCAGGGAGGGAUGUCGGACGGAAGCCUCCACCCUCAUGGGGAAGAUCACCGCUCCUCCAAGCACAUGGGAAACUUAUCUUGAUCAACUCGGGAAUCAUUUCCUCCAACAACCAGCCCGAGAAUAGAACCUGGGCGCUGGAGAGACAAGGUGGACUCUGGCGCUACGGUUCCUGGGUGGAGGCGGCGGUUACGGGGCAAGGCAGGGGUUCAUACCUGGUGACCUGCAGCGUCCCUGGCUGAUCCUGGGCCAUGGCGGCGGGGGUCAUGGGCCGAGCAGGGGUUCACAAGCUGUUCUAGGUGACUUGCACGGCAUCUCUUCUGCCUGCACCUCGGCGGCCGGACAACGCAAGUCGACUGAAUGCACCGCUACUGUUUCUGUUGACCUCUUAUCUUUUUUUUUUUUUAUCAUCGUCAUCGUCUCUCUCUCUCUCUCUCUCUCUCUCUCUCUCUCUCUCUCUCUCUCUCUCUCUCUCUCAUCCACACACACACACACACACACACACUAAGGUGAGACAGAGAGUUUCCACUGCCGCUCCAAAAUGGCGAUCGUUGCUGCUAACUCCUUCUGCUUCACCACCUCCACAGCCAACGCCGCGGCCGCCAACACCACCGCCACCCACACUAACACCACUAUUACCACCGGCAGCACAGGUGUGGAGGGCGGGCCAGAGGAAGGGUUCUCCGUGGUGGUGUCAGGGCAGGUGUCUGGUGGUCCGUUGAGUAGCCAUUUGGAGGCGCCAAGAGCAUGAACGUCCAUGUGUGUGAUGUUCUCCGACCCAAAAGUUCCAUAUCUCGUAUAGACACAACAGUUGACUUUCACUUUAUAUUCGAGCUUGAAGCGUGUGGAAGGCACAACCUCCAUGACCUUUACUUCCACCUUCAUCAAGUUCCACGUGGUAUUGCUCAGUUUGCAGUUCUCAAACCCAAAACAAUGCCAUUCUAGGAUGUGUAUGUUUCCCGCAACAACGCAGACAGCCUUAAAGUCAUCUCCCGGCUUUACAAUCAACGAUGUCGACAUGACCUUUUGUGGCUGACGUUUGAUCUCUUCAUAGAUUCUCUCGUUUCCAUCCUCCACGACUACUACAUCAGGCUUGACAGAGUCCCUGGUGGAGGCGAGGCCGAGAGCACUCACGAAGACCACCACGAGCAGGACAACCACAGC